AAUAUUUUACCUUGGGUGUCUCUACUUUAACUCAAGUACAUGAUUUGUGUACUUCAUCCACCUCUGCCAAACUUUUACACACGACUGCAGCAGUGUGAUUUUCACCAGUUCAUACUUUGCCUGCAGUGGGCGUUGGCGCUGGUAAGAGGGGGUCGCUGUUUCUGCUGGUGGUGCUUAGAAAUGGAAAGUGAAAGGAGCUACGUGGAGCUCCAGAAGGCGGAAGACUCGGCGAUAGGAAGGGAGAAUGGAUGAAAAGGAUAUUAUCAGGCGUAAGAAACGGGAUCUGAUCUUUUGGCUAAGCUUGAAUGAUAUGAUCUUACACGAAUUACAAUCAGAGGGGCUUAUAACAGACGACGAAUAUGAGAAGCUUAAGCAAUUCGAAGAGCGCAACGGAGUGCAGAAGAUGAUUGGAGAGCUUCUGGACAGGAUUAUGAAAAAGGGGACGUUGGUUUGCGGCCAGUUUUUGAACUUGUUGCGAGAUAAAAACGUGAAUGAGUCCUGCCCAGAACUCAGAGAGUGGAUAACUGGAGUCAACACCUCAGGACCAAGUGCAGCUUCAGGGACUAAAAGCUCCAGUGCAGGUCAACUCGUGUGCAUUCAGGCAGAUGGUGGCAGUAAUGUUUUUGCCCCUGUAUAUAGUAACAUGAACACUGGUGACUUCAGUAUGAAUGUGAAUAUGGGGUCUAAAUCCUAAGAACUGAUGGAAAAGCAUGCAUGUACUAUGCUAACAACCCAAACAGCAGUACCUCUCAUGCUGGAAACCAGACAAUAGCAGAUAACGAGGAGUUUCUGAAGAGAAACAGAUGUGCCUUAAUUGAUAAAGUAAAAAAUGUUGUUAGAAUUACUGAUAACCUCCACCUGACAGACGAAAUGAGGGCACUGGUGCAAGCAGAGCCAACGGAUCAGGCCAAAAUGAGGAAAGUUCUGGAGUUUACAAACAGCUCAACCGCUGCUAAGCGCCUGGUCGAGGCCUUGUGGGAGCAUGCUGGUGAUGUCAUGGAGGACCUGACCAGAGCCUAAGAAAUCUAAUGUGGCCUUUUAAACCUCUUUUACAAACUCACGCAGUGCGUGCUGUGAAUUCUAAACCAGCUAAACUAGAAAUCAUGUUAGAUCAUAUACCUACAUUCCAAAGUUAGUUUUUUUAAGCAAAGUGCUUUACACAUUGAUUUUAUAUGACCCACAACUAUUAAUCCUGCUUGUUGUCUAUAUAAAUGAGAUUGUUAACAUUCAUAGGACAUACUUUUUUUUUAACCAUUAUUUGUUUUAUCUGUUAAAAUGGCCUGAGGGAUAAUGCAUAAUGUUUGUGAAGAUGUCUGUUAUUCUUGUUUUACUUUCCAAAAUCUUUCAGGGAUCUAAAUGCUAUUAAUUGUGCAUGUUAACACUUAUUUGGAACUGUAGUUGUAGAUUUUAUAUGAAUUUUCACAUUUUUAUAAACUUUUUUCCAUGUGUGUCCCAUUGCGGGUGGUAUGUGGGAGGGUCAAUGACAAGCUUUUCAAAACGGAAACAAAGAUUAAGGAAUAAAAUUGUGUGAAUGCAUUCUUGACUUUCUAAGAAUCUGUUUUCUACAUUUGAUCUAUUUUAAUUAAAUGUUUUUAAACAACA